CCCUAUUAUAUUUAAUGUAAAUUUAAUUUUUAGUAGUAAAUGAUAAGGUCAGGAAACUUAAAGAAUUUGGCGGUAUAUAUUCUAAUUAGAGGAAUAUAUUUUUUAAUCGAUAAUCCCCGAAAAUCUUACUUUAAUUUAUUAAUUUUGUAUAUCUCCGUCUUAAAAAAAUUUUUUUAAAUAUAUUUUUUGUUUUUUAAAAUAAAAUAAGUCAGGUCAAGGUGCAGAUUAUAUUAAAGAUAAAAUGUAUUACAAUAAAAUUAUUUUUGGAUUUGAUUUUUAAUAAUCAAUGAAUUUGGAUUUAUAUGUAAAAUAAUUUCAAGUAUAAUUAUUUGAAUAAUGUUAAUAUAUAUGUACACAUC
rnacentral:rRNA from 1 species